GGUCCUAUAGUGUAGUUGGUUAUCACCCAAGGUUUUGAUCCUUGUAACUCCGGUUCGAAUCCGGAUAGGACCU
rnacentral:tRNA from 15 species